UAGCCGUAAACGAUGCGCGUUAGGUGUAUCGGUGACCACGAGUCACCGAGGUGCCGAAGGGAAACCGUGAAACGUGCCGCCUGGGAAGUACGGUCGCAAGGCUGAAACUUAAAGGAAUUGGCGGGGAGCACCACAACGGGUGGAGCCUGCGGUUUAAUUGGACUCAACGCCGGGAAGCUCACCGGAUAAGACAGCGGAAUGAUUGCCGGGCUGAAGACCCUGCAUGACCAGCUGAGAGGAGGUGCAUGGCGUAGUCGUGU
rnacentral:rRNA from 1 species